UACGUAGGGGGCAAGCGUUAUCCGGAAUCAUUGGGCGUAAAGCGCGUGUAGGCGGUUCCGUAAGUCCGCUCUGAAAGCCCGGGGCUCAACCCUGGGAGGCGGGUGGAUACUACGGAACUGGAGUACGGAAGAGGAGAUUGGAAUUCCUGGUGUAGCGGUGAAAUGCGCAGAUAUCAGGAGGAACACCAACAGCGAAGGCAGAUCUCUGGGACGUUACUGACGCUGAGACGCGAAAGCGUGGGGAGCAAACAGG
rnacentral:rRNA from 1 species